rnacentral:rRNA from 1 species
AUUGAACGCUGGCGGCAUGCCUUACACAUGCAAGUCGAACGGUAACGCGGGGCAACCUGGCGACGAGUGGCGAACGGGUGAGUAAUGCAUCGGAACGUGCCCAAUAGUGGGGGAUAGCCCGGCGAAAGCCGGAUUAAUACCGCAUACGACCUACGGGGGAAAGCGGGGGACCGUAAGGCCUCGCGCUAUUGGAGCGGCCGAUGUCAGAUUAGGUUGUUGGUGGGGUAAAAGCCUACCAAGCCGACGAUCUGUAGCUGGUCUGAGAGGACGACCAGCCACACUGGGACUGAGACACGGCCCAGACUCCUACGGGAGGCAGCAGUGGGGAAUUCUGGACAAUGGGGGCAACCCUGAUCCAGCCAUGCCGCGUGCGGGAAGAAGGCCUUCGGGUUGUAAACCGCUUUUGUCAGGGAAGAAACGCUCUGGGCUAAUACCCCGGGGUAAUGACGGUACCUGAAGAAUAAGCACCGGCUAACUACGUGCCAGCCGCCGCCGUAAAAC